rnacentral:rRNA from 1 species
GACGAACCGUACGAACGUUAUUCGGAAUCACUGGGCUUAAAGGGUGCGUCGGCGGCGGCGCAAGUUGGGUGUGAAAUCCCUCGGCUCAACCGAGGAAUUGCGCUCAAAACUGCGUCGCUUGAGGAGGAUAGAGGUGAGUGGAACUUAGGGUGGAGCGGUGAAAUGCGUUGAUAUCCUAAGGAACACCAGUGGCGAAAGCGACUCACUGGGUCUUCUCUGACGCUGAGGCACGAAAGCUAGGGUAGCGUACGGG